rnacentral:rRNA from 1 species
GAAUUGACGGGGGCCCGCACAAGCGGAGGAACAUGUGGUUUAAUUCGAUGAUACGCGAGGAACCUUACCCGGGCUUGAAUUGCAGAUGAAGGAUCCAGAGAUGGUGACGCCCUUCGGGGCAUCUGUGAAGGUGCUGCAUGGUUGUCGUCAGCUCGUGCCGUGAGGUGUCGGCUCAAGUGCCAUAACGAGCGCAACCCCUUUCUUCAGUUGCCAUCAGGUAAAGCUGGGCACUCUGGAGAUACUGCCACCGCAAGGUGUGAGGAAGGUGGGGAUGACGUCAAAUCAGCACGGCCCUUACGUCCGGGGCUACACACGUGUUACAAUGGGGGGUACAGAAAGCCGGCUGCCCGCAAGGUCAGUCCAAUCAAGAAAGCCUCCCUCAGUUUGGACUGGGGUCUGCAACCCGACCCCACGAAGCUGGAUUCGCUAGUAAUCGCGCAUCAGCCAUGGCGCGGUGAAUACGUUCCCGGGCCUUGUACACACCG